GGCAUUUGUAUUUCUGUGCAGGGAGAAGGUAUGACUACACAAAACCACAGAAACAGUCUCCUCUAGCUAUAGUAUACUUAUCUUGGGUGGAACAGUUUCAGCUGAAGGAAUAAAGGUUUCAAAAGGGAGCUGACAGUAGAACACUUUUAGAGAUUGCUACGCGGAAGUGCUUUGCGCCUGCAUUUAUUUGAAUCGCCAGCAGAGGACGACUCCUGUCAUUUCCAGCAGAAAGUCUAUGAAAAUUACUUCACUGCUCACUUAAUUAAUGACCUCCGUAAGAACUUACUGCCAACAGUAGUGCAGUUUCCACCAGGACCCUGUUGGCCAAAAGUACUGGAGGCAGUCAUUAACCUGGCUCUCGACUGAUCUGGUUCUGUUUUCCCUUCCUGUGUGUUAUCUGAAGCUUUUCUGAGCCACAAGUACAGAAACAUAUCGCUGAUGAUGAGAUGGGGUCCUUCUACCGCUCCGGCAGGCGUCGUGACACAUGCCCUGACUUUUAAUGACCUGCCUGCUCCUUCAGGGGAGCGCACGGGGAACAGACUGGAAUCCAAAGAAUAUCCAGUAUUUCUGAAUGUCAUCAAAACUAAACAGCAAAAUCCUUGAAGGUCUUUAAAAGGAAUGUAUGUCAAGCCCAACAGAAGCAGCUGUGAAUGUUGAAGAGCUAUCUACACGUUUUAUGCUAGAAAAGGAGAAAUGGCGGGCGUUCGUUUGAGUGCAACCAUGUGGCUUCUCUCUUUGUGUGCACGUCUUUCUCCUCAGUGUGCAUCUGCCUCAAAGGUGGAGCAUGUUUCAGAUUGGUUGGUGGUUUGAGGCCCAGAUCCAACACUUCUUGUUUGCAGUGGCAGCAGGCACAACCUUUUUCCAGACAGAUCCUUAUCCACACACGCCCUAACACAUAGACAUACAUCGACACAGACUUUGAGAAGCCGAACUCGUGUGCACCAUAAUCUGCACUCUCCGCUGGGUUUGUGUGAGUGUGUAUAUGCAUAUAUAUGUAUUGUGAAUCUGUGUGUGCAUGUUCGUGAACAUUUCUCUUUGAAUCUUUGUGUGUGCGCGAAUCCUGUCUGGCUGCAUAGAGGGGCUGAGGUGAGUGAUUGCCUUGUUUCUGUGGGCGGCAAGCUGUGGCGGUUUGCUCUCACUGUAAAUUUAGAAGAAUUCUUAAUGGAACUCCAGAG
ensembl:lncRNA